AUUGAACGCUGGCGGCGUGCUUAACACAUGCAAGUCGAGCGGUAACAGGCGUAGCAAUACGUGCUGACGAGCGGCGAACGGGUGAGUAAUGCUUUGGAAUCUGCCUAGUAGUGGGGAAUAACCUGGGGAAACUCAGGCUAAUACCGCAUACGACCUAAGGGUGAAAGCGGGGGAUCGCAAGACCUCGCGCUAUUAGAUGAGCCAAAGUCGGAUUAGCUAGUUGGUGGGGUAAAGGCCUAACAAGGCGACGAUCCGUAGCUGGUCUGAGAGGAGGACCAGUCACACUGGAACGGAGACACGUUCCAGACUCCGAGGGGAGGCAGCAGUGGGGAAUAUUGGACAAUGGGCGAAAACCUGAUCCAGCCAUGCCGCGUGUGUGAAGAAGGUCUUCGGAUUGUAAAGCACUUUAAGUCGGGAGGAAGGGCUGUAGGUUAAUACCUUGCAGCCUUGACGUUACCGACAGAAUAAGCACCGGCUAACUUCGUGCCAGCCGCCGCCGUAACAC
rnacentral:rRNA from 1 species